AUGCGGCUGGCGUGGGGUAACCCUAGAGGUUUGUUGUUCCACCCCUCGGGGGACAAUGUCUUUGUGGCUGAAUUUGGUUCCCAGGCCGAUCGUGCCCGGGUGAUCGAGGGCUCGCCAUGGAAGGUGGGCAAGCAUGCAGUGUUGCUAAAGGUUUUUGAUCUGAAUACUUUGCCGUCUCAAGUUCAAUUUGACCACUUGGCGCUUUGGGCUCAUAUUAUGCAUGUUCCUCUGAGGCUUAUGAAGGCCAAACUAGGAAUGGAAUUUGCCAAGCCGAUUGGGAGGAUUCACAAGGUGGAUUCGGAUGCGGAUGGUCGCUGCUGGGGGAGUUUCAUGAGGGUGAGGGCUGAAAUUGCAGUCCAGGAACCAGUGGUUCGUUAUGUUACGGUGACCUCUCUCAAGCUGAAAAGGACGGAGACUUUCUCUGUUGUGUACGAGAGACUGCCUUUUUAUUGCUUAUCUUGUGGCCUCCUUGGUCACUCCUUGGUUCUGUGCCCAAAUCCAGCGACAAGGGACGGGAAUGGUGACCUACCAUAUGCGGCGGAGAAGCUUUGUGUUGCUAAUGAUCAUUUGAAAAGAUCUGGAGGCUCUAGGUCCAACUCGGCCCCUUCUUCGGCUGCGGGUAUUGGCUCGUCUAGGAAUGUUCGAUCGGGUGACCCUGGUCAGGAUAGGGCUGCUGCUCAAGGGGGUCCGGGUGCCUCUGAAGGUGAGGUUUCCUCUCCCAACAGACGUGGUGGCUCUACUCAUGGUCGGGGGAGGUCCAACCGUGGCAGAGGAAGAGAUCGCACCGGUGAUUCGGGGCGUGAGCUUUUAUCCUUCAACUCAGAAUAG
rnacentral:rRNA from 1 species